rnacentral:rRNA from 1 species
AUUGAACGCUGGCGGCAGGCCUAACACAUGCAAGUCGAACGGUAGCACAGAGAGCUUGCUCUCGGGUGACGAGUGGCGGACGGGUGAGUAACGUCUGGGAAACUGCCCGAUGGAGGGGGAUAACUACUGGAAACGGUAGCUAAUACCGCAUAACGUCGCAAGACCAAAGUGGGGGACCUUCGGGCCUCACACCAUCGGAUGUGCCCAGAUGGGAUUAGCUAGUAGGUGGGGUAAUGGCUCACCUAGGCGACGAUCCCUAGCUGGUCUGAGAGGAUGACCAGCCACACUGGAACUGAGACACGGUCCAGACUCCUACGGGGGGCAGCAGUGGGGAAUAUUGCACAAUGGGCGCAAGCCUGAUGCAGCCAUGCCGCGUGUAUGAAGAAGGCCUUCGGGUUGUAAAGUACUUUCAGCGGGGAGGAAGGCGGUGAAGUUAAUAACUUCACCGAUUGACGUUACCCGCAGAAGAAGCACUGGCUAACUCCGUGCCAGCAGCCGCCGUAA